rnacentral:rRNA from 1 species
UUGAAAGGGAAACGAUUGAAGUCAGUCGUACCGACGAGAAAUCAACUUUUCGAAUGUGCAUUUGUGGGCGUAUGAGAUCUUCAUUGUUUACAAUAUGUAUGUUUCUUUGGUGUACUUUUUCGUAUGGUAGGUCAAUGUCGGUUUUGAUCGCCAUAAAAUGAUCGGAGGAAUGUAGCUUCGGCUUCGGUUGAAGUGUUAUAGCCUUUGGUAAAUGUGGUGAUUAAGACCGAGGAUUGCAACGAAUACCUUUUAGGCUAUCCGUCUGACCUCUGAAAGUUACUUAGGUGCCGAAAGCUUGCUUACGGUCAUUUAAGUUGACGGUCAAUAGGUUAGAACGUGAUUACAUUCGUUAAGGAUGUUGACGUA